rnacentral:rRNA from 1 species
CACAUGCAAGUCGAGCGUGAAAGGGGCUUCGGCCCUGAGUAAAGCGGCGCACGGGUGAGUAACACGUGAAUAAUCUGCCCUUAUGACCGGGAUAACAGACCGAAAGGACUGCUAAUACCGGAUAAGCUUCCGCGCAACCGGGCGAGUGGGAAAGAACGGGACCUUCGGGCCGUUCGCAUGAGGAUGAGUUCGCGUUCCAUUAGAUAGUUGGUGAGGUAAUGGCUCACCAAGUCGACGAUGGAUAGCUGGUCUAAGAGGAUGAUCAGCCACACUGGAACUGAGACACGGUCCAGACUCCUACGGGAGGCAGCAGUGGGGAAUCUUGCGCAAUGGAGGAAACUCUGACGCAGCCAUGCCGCGUGAGUGAAUGAAGGCCCUCGGGUUGUAAAGCUCUGUCUAAGGGGACGAAUGGCGUUAUGAACAAGACACAUGACGAUUGACGGUACCCUUAAAGAAAACACCGGCUAACUCCGUGCCAGCAGCUGC